rnacentral:rRNA from 1 species
CCUACGGGAGGCAGCAGUGAGGAAUAUUGGUCAAUGGCCGGAAGGCUGAACCAGCCAUGCCGCGUGAAGGUCAGUGCCCUAUGGGCGUUAAACUUCUUUUGUGCGGGAGCAAUAAUGGUCACGUGUGGCCAGACGAGAGUACCGUACGAAUAAGCAUCGGCUAACUCCGUGCAAGCAGCCGCGGUAAUACGGGGGAUGCAAGCGUUAUCCGGAUUUAUUGGGUUUAAAGGGUGCGUAGGCUGUGAGGUAAGUCAGCGGUGAAAUGCCCCCGCUCAACGGGGUGACGUGAGAUGGAUACUGCCUAGCUGGAAUGCGGAUGCCGUGGGAGGAAUGUGUGGUGUAGCGGUGAAAUGCAUAGAUAUCA